rnacentral:rRNA from 2 species
UGUUUCGGCUAGGGGGCCAUCCCGGCUUACCAACCCGAUGCAAACUGCGAAUACCGGAGAAUGUUAUCACGGGAGACACACGGCGGGUGCUAACGUCCGUCGUGAAGAGGGAAACAACCCAGACCGCCAGCUAAGGUCCCAAAGUCAUGGUUAAGUGGGAAACGAUGUGGGAAGGCCCAGACAGCCAGGAUGUUGGCUUAGAAGCAGCCAUCAUUUAAAGAAAGCGUAAUAGCUCACUGGUCGAGUCGGCCUGCGCGGAAGAUGUAACGGGGCUAAACCAUGCACCGAAGCUGCGGCAGCGACGCUGAUGCGUUGUUGGGUAGGGGAGCGUUCUGUAAGCCUGCGAAGGUGGCCUGUGAGGGUUGCUGGAGGUAUCAGAAGUGCGAAUGCUGACAUAAGUAACGAUAAAGCGGGUGAAAAGCCCGCUCGCCGGAAGACCAAGGGUUCCUGUCCAACGUUAAUCGGGGCAGGGUGA